rnacentral:rRNA from 1 species
UACGAAGGGUGCAAACGUUGCUCGGAAUUAUUGGGCGUAAAGCGCACGUAGGCGGCUUCGCAAGUCGGAUGUGAAAUCCCUCGGCUCAACCAAGGAAGUGCAUCCGAAACUGCAGAGCUUGAGUACCAAAGAGGAUCGCGGAAUUCCCGGUGUAGAGGUGAAAUUCGUAGAUAUUGGGAAGAACACCGGUGGCGAAGGCGGCUAUCUGGCCCGUAAUUGACGCUGAGGCGCGAAAGCGUGGGGAGCAAACAGG